rnacentral:rRNA from 1 species
GACGUAGGGCGCGAGCGUUGUCCGGAUUUAUUGGGCGUAAAGAGCUCGUAGGCGGCUUGUUGCGUCGACCGUGAAAACCCGGGGCUCAACUUCGGGCUUGCGGUCGAUACGGGCGGGCUAGAGUUCGGUAGGGGAGACUGGAAUUCCUGGUGUAGCGGUGAAAUGCGCAGAGAUCGGGAGGAACACCCGUAGCGAAGGCGGCACUCUGGGCCGGUACUGACGCUGAGGAGCGAAAGCGUGGGGAGCGAACAGG